UCAUUCCGAACCUCUUCCAAAUCCCUUUAUUUAAAAAACAGCUGACUGUCAAUUUAUCAAAUAAGCAAGUGAAAGAUCAUUGAUUUCAUAUCUAAUUAUGGCGCCUACUGCUGCAAUGUUGAUUCUUCCCCAUCUCGGCGAAACUACUUCACCGGUCGUUCCUACUUCACCGCCACCGGAGGUAAAGGCCUCUGCUUUGAAAUGGAUUGCACUGGGUAAAAGCUUUUUUGUUCGAACAAAAUCUGGGUCUAUUAGCAAAGAGUCAAAAAUGGAGGUUGAUCGUUGUUUAUCUGCUGAUUCUGCCUUGGAAAACAGGUUCCUUGAAGCCUUGGAACUCAGCUGGUGGUAAGGUAAUGAUCAUGAUCCAUAGUUGACGGGUCGGGCAGAGGCUUGUUUGUAAAUUUAUCACUUUAAUGUUGGUUUUCAUUGCACCAACUCUGUAAAUUACAGCCAAUUUUCUAGUGGAAAUGUAAUCCUCAAACUUCAGUUUGAUUACAGUUUGGUUUUUCAAUUGCAUAUUUUUAUAGUAGAAGUUAUAGAAAUCAAGUUCGGUUCUAUAUCAUUCAUUUUUGUAUUUCUCCCAAACAUGAACUCUUUCUUGGAAAAGAAAGGGUUUUUUCUUAAUCUAUCAAAAUAGUCCUUUUUUUUGGUUUGCUUCAGGAUAUAUUUU
rnacentral:lncRNA from 1 species